rnacentral:rRNA from 1 species
AAAUUUAAAGACAAAAGAUCACAGAUCUUUCAUGAUUAUGUGAUGGGUGGUGCAUGGCCGUUCUUAGUUCGUGGAGUGAUCUGUCUGCUUAAUUGCGUUUCAAAUAUAUUUUAUUAUAUAACGAGUCUACAAAGGAGUGGUUCAUUAACAGACAAUCAUAUCUUUGAGCGUCUGGAAUCUACUCUAUUUGGCUCAAUUGAACGCAACGGACGUGAUCGCGAGUCCUUGUUGAACUUCAGUAUAUAUUGACUUUCCCCGAGGAGGGAUUGGCAAUAAUUGAAUGUUCGCUUUCUAUAGGUGUGUAUGAUUAAUCUCAAAAUUACAUGUAUUUGUAGUGGCGAGUAUAAUUUACUAUCCUAUAGGAAAACUCGGGCGACCGCUGUAAUAUUUCUCUUUAAAACAGAGGAAGAUUGCGGCAAUAACAGGUCUGUGAUGCA